AACGCGAAGAACCUUACCCAGGUUUGACAUGCAUAGGACAGCGCUAGAGAUAGCGUCUCCCGCAAGGGCCUAUGCACAGGUGCUGCAUGGCUGUCGUCAGCUCGUGCCGUGAGGUGUUGGGUUAAGUCCCGCAACGAGCGCAACCCUUAUCAUUAGUUGCCAACACGUGAAGGUGGGAACUCUAGUGAGACUGCCUGGGUUAACCAGGAGGAAGGUGAGGAUGACGUCAAGUCCGCAUGGCCCUUAUAUCUGGGGCUACACACGUGCUACAAUGGCCGGUACAAAGGGCAGCGAAACCGCGAGGCGAAGCAAAUCCCAAGAAAGCCGGCCCCAGUUCAGAUUGUAGUCUGCAACUCGACUACAUGAAGCCGGAAUUGCUAGUAAUGGCGCGUCAGCUACAGCGCCGUGAAUACGUUCCCGGGCCUUGUACACACCGGAGUA
rnacentral:rRNA from 1 species